rnacentral:lncRNA from 1 species
CCAGGGGUUUCCAGGCGUGAAAGGAGAAAAGGGUAAUCCUGGAUUUCUAGGAUCCAUUGGACCUCCAGGACCAAUUGGGCCAAAAGGACUACCUGGUGUACGUGGAGACCCUGGCACACUUAAGAUUAUCUCCCUUCCAGGAAGCCCAGGGCCACCUGGCACACCUGGAGAGCCAGGGAUGCAGGGAGAACCUGGGCCACCAGGGCCACCUGGAAACCUAGGUGUGGGACUGGCAGCAUUGACUUGGAUCACUAGGAAGUGGUUGAACCAAAAUACCUGUAAACUGCUUUGGAAACAGCUGAUACAACUUCACAGAAAAUGUUGAACAUGAUAGUGGUUUUCACAAUCAGUCUUAGGAUUGAGCUCAUUUUACCCUUGACCAGCAAAUAAAAGACCUUGGAAUCUAUUGAAAGCAGUUGUUCAUAGUAUAACUUGAACAAAU